rnacentral:rRNA from 1 species
AGUCACUGACAUUAGAUACCCGGGUAGUCCAGGGUGUAAACGCUGCAGACUUGGUGUUGGAAGUCCUUUGGGGGCAUUCAGUGCCGGAGAGAAGUUGUUAAGUCUGCUACUUGGGAGUACGUCCGCAAGGAUGAAACUUAAAGGAAUUGGCGGGGGAGCACCGCAACGGGAGGAGCGUGCGGUUUAAUUUGGAUUCAACACCGUAAACUCACCAGGGAAGACUGUUACAUGAAAGCCGAGAUGAAGACUCUGCUAGAUUUUCAG